GAUCAGUGCCGACACAAGGCGACAGUCAAGAUGAAGAGUGGAGAGGAAGUGUGACUUGGAAGGGAGGCAUGCUAAAAAGAAGAGUGAAAUCCAUAUAGAGUGGCUGAAGCAGAAGAAUUUAACAAUAAGUAGAGAAGUAGAGUGUCUUAUUUGUCUCUCUGAGGGCAUAUGCAUCUAUAAUAAAGUCUGAGCAAAAUGUCUGGGCUAUCUGAUUAAAAAGCUCAGAACCAAGUAGAACCGGGCCUAAAAAAGUUGUCCAAUACCGUACACCUAACAAGACUUCAAAACACAGUAAGGACAGGGCAUCAAUGACACGGCAUCAGGCCCAAACCCUUCCAUGGACCUCCUUCUCCAUGGACCAAAGAGAAGAAGUUACUAAAAUUGGCAAGUUUUUGCUAGAAAAGACAUACGGUAACAGCUGAAGCAGAAGUACUCCAGAGCACGCUACAUAACAAUGCACCCUGUUAUUCAUAAUAUACAAUAUUUUAAUGCAAACUAUUCUGUAUAUUUACAUUUGUAUUGAAAAGUCAUGAGGCUAUCUAAUUUAAGACCCAUAUGCGUUAUUCAGGAGGCUAUAUAAUUAUACUGUAAGACCCCUAUGCAUUUUUCAGAACAGGCUGAAAUAAUGAUCUGAUAAUGAUGAGUUGAGUAUUCCUUUGAUCUUGCUAAGCAUUUUCCCACAAAUGUGAGCUUGUUUUCUCUUGAUGUGCCCUCAUUUUCUGUCCAGAUUAUCUUAAUUGUGUUGGCAUGUCAAUUUUCAUCUUUGCUGUAGUUUCUGUUUAGAGGUGACUUUAAGGUUGAUCACAAUCUAUUGUAACUCUUAUGCAACCAAAGGUCAGUAUUUUAUGUAGUCAGUCAAAAAUAUGCUGCAGUUACUUUUGUGGGAUGUAGCCAUCCCCAUAGGGGGAAACUGGAAUUCUAUACAACCAAUGAUAGGCCCUCUGUAGCAGAGUCUCAACUCAUCAUCUAUAUUUGUAAUGGGGUGAACACACCUAUAAGAAACGUUUAUGCACAGGGGCUCCAUUGAAGACUAAAAAUCAAAAACUGUAUUACCUUACAGGCAAAAAUACCAGCAAGCAUCACAAAUGGUGUCCAGUGACCUAGAUGUGGGCCCUACCUUCCCUGACAAUAUUUUUGUAUGAUAUAUAUAUAUAUAUAUAUCUAUAUAUAUUUAGACAGUAUUACUCCACCCAGCAUGUAAUUAUUAUAUAUUUGUGGCCCUCAAUAAUUGGACUUGCACGGCUAUUUUGCAUCUCAACUGCUGAAUCAUAAAGAAUAAAGUAUUUUAAUUUGUACAACAAGAAAGAAAACAUUGCUGUAUGAAAGCAGAUCGGAAUAAUAAAUACAAUCCACUCCUG